CCUACGGGGGACAGCAGUGGGGGAUAUUGCACAAUGGGGGAAACCCUGAUGCAGCGACGCCGCGUGGGUGAAGAAGUAUUUCGGUAUGUAAAGCCCUAUCAGCAGGGAAGAAAGAAGACGGUACCUGACUAAGAAGCCCCGGCUAACUACGUGCCAGCAGCCGCGGUAAUACGUAGGGGGCGAGCGUUAUCCGGAUUCACUGGGUGUAAAGGGAGCGUAGACGGCCGUGCAAGCCAGGAGUGAAAGCCCGGGGCCCAACCCCGGGACUGCUCUUGGAACUGUGCGGCUAGAGUGCGGGAGGGGCAGGCGGAAUUCCGUGUGUAGCGGUGAAAUGCGUAGAUAUACGGAGGAACACCGAUUGCGAAGGCAGCUUACCAAGCUACUUCUGACGUUGAGGCACGAAAGCGUGGGGAGCAAACAGGAUUAGAUACCCCGGUAGUC
rnacentral:rRNA from 1 species